UACGAAGGGGGCUAGCGUUGCUCGGAAUCACUUGGGCGUAAAGCGCACGUAGGCGGAUUGCUAAGUCAGGGGUGAAAUUCCUGGAGCUCAACUCCAGAACUAGCCUUCGAUACUGAGAGUCUCGAGUCCGAGAGAGGUGAGUGGAACUGCGAGUGUAGAGGUGAAAUUCGUAGAUAUCGCAAGAACACCAGUGGCGAAGGCGGCUCACUGGCUCGGUACUGACGCUGAGGUGCGAAAGCGUGGGAGCAACAGGG
rnacentral:rRNA from 1 species